GAGUUUGAUCAUGGCUCAGAUUGAACGCUGGCGGUAGGCUUAACACAUGCAAGUCGUGCGAGAAAGUACCUUCGGGUGCGAGUAGAGCGGCGGACGGGUGAGUAACGCGUAGGAAUCUACCUAGUAGAAGGGGAUAGCCCGGGGAAACUCGGAUUAAUACCGUAUACCUCCUUAGGGAGAAAGAGGGCUUAGCUUUGAUGCUCUCGCUACUAGAUGAGCCUGCGUAAGAUUAGCUUGUUGGUGAGGUAAAGGCUCACCAAGGCGACGAUCUUUAGCUGGUCUGAGAGGACGAUCAGCCACAUUGGGACUGAGACACGGCCCAGACUCCUACGGGAGGCAGCAGUGGGGAAUAUUGGACAAUGGGCGCAAGCCUGAUCCAGCCAUACCGCGUGUGUGAAGAAGGCUUUCGGGUUGUAAAGCACUUUAAGUAAGGAGGAAAAGAUUGUAGUUAAUACCUGCAAUCCGUGACGUUACUUACAGAAUAAGGACCGGCUAAUUCCGUGCCAGCAGCCGCGGUAAUACGGAAGGUCCAAGCGUUAAUCGGAAUUACUGGGCGUAAAGCGCGCGUAGGUGGUUUUUUAAGUUGGAUGUGAAAGCCCUGGGCUCAACCUAGGAACUGCAUCCAAAACUAGAUGACUAGAGUACGAAAGAGGGAAGUAGAAUUCACAGUGUAGCGGUGGAAUGCGUAGAUAUUGUGAAGAAUACCAAUGGC
rnacentral:rRNA from 1 species